CAAUAGCGUAUAUUAAAGUUGUUGCAGUUAAAAAGCUCAUAGUUGGAUUUCUGGUUGAAGCGACCGGUCGGGCGUUGAUUCGUCUGCACUGGAGUCGGUUUUGGCCAUCCUCUAGGAAAGUGCGUCUGGUAUUAAGUUAUCGGGCGUAUGAUCCUGGUCUUUUACUGUGAAAAAAUUAGAGUGUUUAAAGCAGGCCUUCGCCUUGAAUACAUUAGCAUGGAAUAAUAAGAUAGGACUUUGGUCUAUUUUGUUGGUUUGCAGACCGAAGUAAUGAUUAAUAGGGAUAGUUGGGGGUAUUUAUAUUCCGAUGUCAGAGGUGAAAUUCUUAGAUUUUCGGAAGAUAAACUUAUGCGAAAGCAUUUACCAAGGAUGUUUUCAUUAA
rnacentral:rRNA from 1 species